GAUGAACGCUGACAGAAUGCUUAACACAUGCAAGUCUUUGGCGAAGCUGUGCUUGCACAGCCUAGCCAAGGCGGACGGGUGAGUAACGCGUAAGGAACUUGCCCUGCAGUCAGGGAUAACAGACGGAAACGACUGAUAAGACCUGGUAAAGUCAGGCGGACUCAUGUCCAGCCUGAUGAAAAGAGAUGCUGCAGGAGAGCCUUGCGUCCUAUUAGCUUGUUGAUGGGGUAACGGCCCACCAAGGCGAUGAUAGGUAGCCGGCCUGAGAGGGUGGACGGCCACAAGGGGACUGAGAUACGGCCCUUACUCCUACGGGAGGCAGCAGUGGGGAAUAUUGGACAAUGGGGGCAACCCUGAUCCAGCAAUUCUGUGUGCACGAUGAAGGUUUUCGGAUUGUAAAGUGCUUUCAGCAGGGAAGAAAAAAAUGACGGUACCUGCAGAAGAAGCGACGGCUAAAUACGUG
rnacentral:rRNA from 1 species